AACUUUAGCUCAGCGGUUAGAGCUCCCCGCUCAUAACGGGUAGGUCGUAGGUUCAAAUCCUACAAGUUCC
rnacentral:tRNA from 1 species